rnacentral:tRNA from 1 species
GGGCCAUUAGCUCAGUUGGUUAGAGCGCUGUCCUGAUAAGACAGAAGCCGUUGGUUCAAGUCCAAUAUGGCCCA